CCCUGGUUGCUAGGCCACCACUGUUUCUUCUUAGCCUGGGAAAGACAUACAAAUUUCCAGUGACCCACUGAAUCUUCUAGCCGCCCACCCACCGGCAAAACGAGUAGAUCCUAAACCUCAUUGAGUGUGAACUCGGUGCCCAGUGUAGAUCAAUUUCAAAUGUAAAAAUAGUCAGCAAAGUCAAGGUAUUUUCUUGUAGAGGUGACCCAGUAUGCCGCAUAGAUGAUGGAUAGGCCAUCUGGGGAGUUUCUCUGGGCAAGGGCCUGGACGUGCCCCCUGUGAACUCUCAAGACUCUCUUCUGAAGGGAAGAAAAAUUUUCAUCAGCCUUGACAUGAACUUGGAGAAUUUUCUCUGGUGUCUGGUUCUUCAGGUCUUAUCUUCCUCGGAACCAUCUGUGGCUCCUUGGUCUCGAACCUUCUGUCCCCAGCCUAGGUGGUGAGCUUGGCAGCCUUCUUGAAACUAUCCCUACAUUGACUGUUCAUCUUAAACGUUAGUCCAGCCUUCACUGCAGCCUGUGGUGGGACUCAGGGUAGAGGUUGGACUCAGGUCUUUCUGCUCAGGUCAUUCCACAGCAGCAGAGCUUCCCAGAGCUGAGCAGCUAGCCGGGGACAGCAGUGAGUCCUGAAGACACCCAUGGAGGAGAACUCGGCAGCCGGGCCCACAGGAGCCACCCCGCCCUCACCGUCUUCACCAGCCUGUACUUUAUUAGAAUUUAUACGUUGCCCCGAUUGAGGGGGAAAAUAAUUAACAUCCCUACAAAUAUAUCGUAAACAAAAUAUUUAUUAGAA